UGCGGCUCCGAUUCCCUCCCUUCCUCUCGCCCUUCCGUUCGGCACCCCGAGGGCGAAGAAGGCUUCGCCAACACGACCUCCAUCUCUCCCCGCCUCUUCCACCAUUCGCGGCGCCGAUUGGGUGGCCAGCUUGAUCGCACCACUGCUCAGAGAGAGAGAGAGAGAGAGAGAGAGAAUCCGAGGUCUUUUGGCGAGGUAUGCAGACUGAUCAGGCGGUCAUCGGCUUGAGGCCCGGCGGUGGAGGGAGGACCAGAGGCAGCAGAAUACUCGCUCCACGGUUCGACUCCGCCGCCUCCGAUCACGCCGUCCUCCGCCCACACGUAGGUGCCGGCGCCCCGCGUCCCGCUCAAUGAUUUACUGUGUGAUGGAAAAUCAUGCCCUGCUGAGGAAAAUGUUGAGGCAAUCGGCCAGUUAUUGAACACCAUAGGGAAGGAGUUGGAUGAGAGAGUCGUAAAUCUCGUCGCUUUAAUGAUGCCUAUUUCAGCCGGCCGAAAGAGCUAACUACCGAUCCUCAACUUGCGUCACGUCUAAGAUUUUAUGGUCCGCUAUGUGCUUGAUCUUUGUGCAAACAAUUGGAUCCCUCGGCGUGAAGAGGUAAACUUUGCCCUGGUUCAGUUCAUGUAAUUAGGAUGAAUUAUUCUCAAGAGACUCACAAUUGUUGUUGUAGUUUUCUUUGGAAUUGAUGGCUUCCCGAGGCAGAAAAGAAUCUGGGGCCACGCCCUAGUGCGACUCCAAGCAUGAGAAGUAGCCGUGAUGUUGGUGGUUCAGGAGGUCUUAGUCUUACGGGAUAUCCUUGGAAUUAAACUUAUUUAAAAGAUGAGAUUGAAACUUCUCUCAUGAACGCCUGGGAUGCCAGGUGAUAAGAUUGGUGUAUCUCUUCUUCUUCUUUUUUCUUUUCUAUCAAUCCUAUCAACAGACGCAAUGCUGGUGGUAUGAUUCUUGGGAUGCCUGGAAUUCCUGGGUUAGACGAUGACCAUUGGGAAGUUCGACAAGCGAAUCUAUGCCCAGAGGUGAUGUUAACCGUGUCCAUGGUCCUUUGAUCACCAUCCAUCACUUUUAAGCUCUUACCACAAGUUAGUGGUAGCCUGGCAUCUGGUAAGACUAGUGCAUUACUGCAGGGCAGUGGCCCAGUAUCUCGUUCUUCUUGUAUUGUUUCAGGCGUAUCAGAUUCUCCAUCUCAAAACUUAGGGCGCCAGAGACCAGUUGGUCAAGAAGUUAGUGGCAACACAAAUUUAAUCCUAAUGAGCUGCAUAAGAAAACAGUUCCUCUUUUUGAAGAGUAUUUUGACAUCUGCAUUCUAGAUGAAGCACUUCAAUGUGUAGAGGAACUGAAGAGCUCAGAGUACCAUCCAGAGGUUGUCAAGGAAGCCAUCGAUUUAGCUCUAAACAAGGGCUUUUCAUAUCUGGAAGCUGUAGUGAUGUUUUUGGAGAUUUUGCUGAUUAAAAAUGUUUUUACUCCAAGGGAUUUGGGGACAAGUUGUUUGCUCUAUGAUGCGAUGUAAGAUGAUGUUGGCAUUGAUUUGCCAAAAGCACCCACAUAUUUUGGUGGUGUUGAUUUCAAAGGUAGUGGAGGAAAUUCUCACAAAGGUUGAAGAUGCCAGUUUCCAGUCAGCAAUAUUCAAUGCUCUUUUCAGAAUUUUUAAAGCAAGUCCUAAUGGACAGUGUGUAUGUUGAAUGCUUGUGCCAGUUGCAGCAAAAUGGAUAAACUCAUGAAGCUCCAGUUGCUCUUUAAGCUCUUGACAAAUGAUUGUGGAUACGAAGGAAGGAAUUGGUGAGUGCAUCAAAUUGUUGAAAUUAAUAUUCUCAUUUAGUUUGCUUUACCUUGUCUUUGCAGAUGGUUAUACAAGCGCAGGAAGGAGAUGCAAGUUCAGAUCCAUGAGGUCCAGUUUCAUACAGAUGGUCAUGCAUGCCUGUCUUAUCAUCACAGUCAUCACCUCUUGUUCUUUUUCUGUAAUUAACUGCAUUUCCAUCAGAUAGGAAUACAGUUUUCUGCCUAAUACUCCAUUGUUUAUAUGAUUUAUGAAGGCAAUCAUCUAUAACCUGUAAUCUUGAGAAGUGUUUCAAUCUAUGCCAAGACAUCAAUGAUUGUCAUGUUGUUUAUUCUCCUGUAUUAGUUCAUGUUGAGUAUUCUGAGACAAAGACUUGGAAUAAUAUCUUUUUACCUUUUUCUUGAUAGGUUGAACCAAAUGCAUGAUCCUACAUGGGCUACUCAUCUUCGAAUGGAAUCAAUGGAUGGGUAAAGAGACUCAUCCUGAUGCAAUCUUCAGCAACUCUUACUAGAUGAUGAUAGUGAGGGAGAUGUAUGGCUUUCUGCUACUUUCCUGAGGCUCUCAUCUUCAUACUAAUAUCCUGCCGCCAUCACAUAUUGGUCUGUAAGUCUGAUGUCUUGUGAUGUUAUGUCUCCACUCAAUGUUGCAGAAACUCCCAAUGUCACACAGAAUCCUAUGUCUAUAUUCUCAAAUCUGCUGUGAUAUAGAUGCCUUCUUAUCAUCAGAAAAUUCAGCUUGCAAGCCAUGUGAAGAAUUCCCACCAUAAUAGUUUGGGACUGUUCACCGACAUGCAAAAGGACAGUGAUCUGUCUUGUUCCUUCUGUUCUUUCCUGUUCUCUUCUUCUGCUUCUUUGGCACACCGAACACAACUUUACUUCUGUUGAGUGACAUCUUUUGCUGAUCUAUUCUCAUGUGCAGGCUCAUCACCUACUUUGUUUUUUACCACCCUCGAAGCAAAGAAGAGAAAGAAAAGAUCUUUAAACCCAUGUGAAGUUCUUGAAACAUGACUACUGGAAGAAGAUGGAAAGAUUCGUUUGUUGUUUUGAGUAUCGAACAACUUGGGCUUGAAAUUGACGUCGGCUUUUGACAGUGUUCUGCUCAGACUUUUCUCUCGGUCUUUCACCAUGUCAGAUUCUCUGGAUUGGGCACUGUUGUAGCGGUCAUGUGGAGUGUGGCUACUGAUAUCAUCAGCCAUGGUGCAGGAGAUCAAGCUCGCCAACUGCCCCAACUCCUGGAAGACCUGCCAUUACACGGCCGAAAUGUGACGGUGAAGCUGAGCAGUGGUGACAAGUCCGGUGAGGAGAGCGUGGAAGUUGACGGCGGGGAACGGCUGAGCCACUCGAAAAAGAGUGGUACUGGUGGCAAAGGAGGGAAGGGUGUCGGCGGCGCAGGCUCUCAAUCUCUCCGGCAGCCACGGUCUCGGAAGAGCGGCUCCACAUCCAUGCGACGGCCAUACGACUCUCUCUGGGGAAUUGGUCUGCCUUCCCUCCUGCUUUGCGUUGCUUUAACCUGACUUCUUUGGUAUCGCAAGAUCGAUGAAUAAAUGGAGUGUUUGUAUGACUGCAUCUAAUCUAUGAUUGUGGAAAUGUCGACGAUGAUGAUUGAAAGUUUGUGAUUAGACUUUAAUGAUGAGUGAAAUGAAAAGGGAAAAAAAUGUUACAAUAUUAAAUUAAAUAUUGUGAUUAGAU